CUUGCUUCAGGUCGAAGGUCAAUGACGACUGCUUGAAUCUGCUUCAGCUGUUGCAAUCACAGAUUCCUGGAGAGAUUAAAGCAGCUUCUUUUUUUCAGAGGUCACAAACACUUGACUCUGAGUAAAAGUGAAGUGUUGCACAACAAGCUGAAGUUCUGUAAAUACUGUCGUGCUUCGUGUUCUGUCACCACCAACACGUCAAGUCUAGACGUGUUGAACGUUCCCUCAAUAAUCCAGGUUUGUUCAGGCUCAAAGAUGGACGCGUUUACGAUGAAAGCCACUCAGAGAAAGGCUCCUGUGGCGUUAUGAGUCUUCUGGACCUUCUGUGUCCUGACGUUUGGUUCUGAUCCAUUAAUCAGAUCUGGAAAUUAAUUUGACCGUCUGUUAAACUAACGUUUGACCUGAAACGAAAUGGUCUGGCUUUUAUUUGUGUAUAAAAAAGCAGCUGUGAGCGAGGAGACGCUGGCGUCGCCUCUGCUGCGAUGACAUAAGCAUUGGCUCCAUCAGUGGAACGUGUUGAUCUACAGGGAGGAUCCCGGAUCAGCCGGUUUGGGACAAACGGGGAAACCGUCACCACACAAACACGGAGCUGAAAGGAUUUCAUAAGAAUUGGUAUGAAGCUGUUUAAUGAAUGACGUCUCUGGACCUCAGGUGUCAACGAGCUCAACAGGCUGAUGCUCCCAAUCAGAUUAGGACGUUUAAAUAGCUCUGGGCUGUAGCGUUUUACAGCCUGACACACACCAUCCACCCAACACCAGAACUUUCAGUCCGACAGAACCACCAACUGGCAUGUUUGCUCAGUCUAGACGGAACCGACCACAGACUCCAAGUCACACUGAGCUCAGCUCACUUUAAGUUCCAGAGUCAUAUAUAUGAACCUGCUGACAUUUAAUAUAGACACAUUGACCAUAAGAGCAAACAAGAAUGUUUAAAUAGAAGUGAGCUAAAUGAAGUUUUAUUCAGGAUCCUUUUUCUACGAGGACCAAUCAGUCAGAGCAUCUAAAGAGACAGAUGAUAGAGACGGAGACGCAUUGAUGCUGCUCGUGACCUUUGACCCCUGCUGUCAGUCACUCUGAAUGUGGCUCUGCCCUCAGUGUUUACUGGAGAAGCUGCAGGUUCACUCGUCUUGUUCUUCACGCUGCAGUAAUUGGACGCUGGGACGGGUCUCUGGAGGCCGGACUGGCCUGGAUCUGAUGUCAGUGGUUAAUGGGAGCGUUUGGUGGGGUUUGACUCCUCUUACAGGUUGUCUGCGAGCGAGUCAGUGCUGAGCUGGGUCCCCUCGGCCUGCGGCGGCGAGCAGCGAACGUGUGGGCACAGCUGCGUGGAAAACCCACGUGAGAAUCUGAAGCUCCAGACUCACGUUACAUAAACAGCCUUUUAUGGUGCAAAGACUCUGGAGAAGUCGGUUUUGAGUGUUUGACCACGACGCUCGGCGCAGGAUGAUGGGUGUGUGUGUCGUCCAGCAGCUGGGAUGGUUACCAUGGCUACAGCUUACUCUGGUUUAGGCGCUUCAUUAGGGUUUACUGGACAGUGUUUUUUAAGCUAAUUGGAACUGAAACCGCUGCUAAUCGGUGCUGGUGCUGUGGACAGACGGGUGGUGCAGCCUUCAGGGCGCGUGAGCCUUAUGUAAAGCUGACGAUGGCUCCGUCUUCCAGCCUCCUCUGUGUUUUAAUGACUUAAACACCAGAACGGCUGCGUGUGACGCUUCACGUGCUGGACUUUAAUUGAUUCCUCUGAGCUGCAGCAGGAGCCUCCGCGUUGGCGUGAAUGCUGAGGCGAGGCCUGCGGGGCUCAGCCACGCCGACCUGUGGAGGCCUGCGAUAGUGGAGCAGGGCUGGAGCAGGAAGGUGGAGCUGGAGCUGUAAUCUGAGCUUUAAAGCUUCCACUGGAAUGAGGAGAGCUCCUCCGAGGGACGGACUAAUUGGAUGUCACCAAAUCACAGAGGCCGACGUGACAGGACGAAGGAGGACGACGAGGCCGAACAUCUGCACAGACAAAGAGGCUGCAGCAGCACCAGAGCUCAAGUGAAAGAAGGCAAAGAUUCACGGCGUGUGCAUCUACGGGCUGAGAGCAUGAAUGUGGGCCGUCUUUGCAGUAUUAGACUCCAUCGUCUGAGAGAGAGCUGGGAAGUGAAAGAGGAGUCAUACAAGAUUAAAGAGAAGCAACUGAAUAGAGGAGAAAAGAAUCAAAGGCGGAGGAGAAGCUGCUUCCAGCUGCUGCUUACAUCUGAAGAGCUUCAGAGGCUCCACAGCCUCUGCUUCUUUACGCUUCCUGUGUUUCCUCUCAGGUGGAGGUUCAUUUAAAGCUGCAGCUGCAAGUUUAAAGCUUGACGCGUCUCUUUCCCACUCUGUGGACAUGUUUGAAUGUGAUCCACUAAAGAACGCGGCUCAGUCCCUGAUCCGUCUCCCUGUCUGUAAGUGAUCACUGGGGUGGAUGGAGGAGGUGGAGGCCAUGGGUCAGUGUGAUCAGCCACAGCGUGAAGCAGAAAAGCCUCAGGAAAGCUUCACAUAGAAAAAACUACUGCCACGAAGGAGAAAUUAGUCAGCAAGAAACGAAACAAAACUGCAAUCCAUCCGAGACGCGAAGUAAAUAUAAGGAUCUGAUGAAAGAGUAACAACGUGAACAAAAAACGAACAAAACGCCUCCACUGAGAAAUCAGGAUGCAAAACACGUUUUACUGUAGGAGACACAAGAUGGAGAAAAACCUCUCGAUGCUUGUUCCUGCAGGUGUCGGGGUCUGAGGUGACAGCCAUCAUGUGUCUCCAGCAUCAGCUGGUCUGCGGCUGCACGUCCGUCCUGAGCCUGCAGGGGGCGCCAGGGUUCCACUCAUCAGAGAUCAGAGGCUUUGACUCCUUGGUUCAAACCACAGGCCGUGAAUGAAGCUGGGUCGUGGUGUGGGGGCGGAGACGUGUCCAGGUCCAGGUCCUGGCUCUGAACCAGCUGGAGAUGCAGCUGUGACACUGACGCACAGGCUCGGACCCACGGCGCCGGAUGCCUGUGGGCCCCCGCUGCCUCACAGUGUGUCCACCCCUCGGCCUGACGUGUUGGUGGCGGCACGCGUGUGAUUGCACCGAGCGCCUCUGGCAACCGCAGCAGGAGACGAGAGAAGCUGUGGUGGAAUGAAGACAGAGCAGCAGAGACGGGCGUCUGCACUGAAGCCAUGGUGAAGUGAAGCGUCUGCUCCAUCAGCGUCUCAGGGAUCAGAGCUGAUUUCCAUUUAUUUGUCUGGAAAGUGUGUGAAAGCAGCAGCUCCACUGGGCCGGUUCUGGACUCCUGUCGCUGCAGCUGAUUCCUCACUGGACGCUCGUCCAAACCGGCCUCUGCCAUAAACAUCCAGCUUUAACUUCUAUGUUUAGAGUCUCUAAAACAGCCCAGAGCUGCAUAAUGAGCAGCAGCGCGUGUCCAGAGGAAAGGAGGAACCUCUGCAUGAGCGUCCUGUUCACUGAGGGUUUCUGGGUCGAGGUCCUGUUCUACCGGCUGCUCCUCAGGCCCAUUUGGGCCCAGACUAACCUGCCGAGAGGUCGCUGGUGUGGUGUCGGCUCCUGGGAAAAGCAGAGGAGGGAACAUGCAGAGAAUGAAGCUGUGGCUGGUUCUGGUGUGGGCCCGUCUCCAUCUGGGCUCAUUACAUCGAGGACACAUUGGAAUUCUGUGUGUUUGAGUGUGGAUUGGACCACAGGUAGACUCAGCGUGGGCCUCUGGUGAAUGUAGAACCCACCUGUGAAACCUCAGCCUGGUGUCGUCUGCACUCCCGCUUCUCCCUCUGCCUCUAUGCUUCUGCUGGGAUCUUCAGAACCCAUUGCUGGUCGGACCGACCCACCCGUGUCCCGGUUCUGUUCUCUGUCCCCGCACCUGGACCGGUCGAGGCAGAUGGCCGCCGGGCCGAGCCUGGUUUGAUGUGUGCAGGAGCAGAGCUGGUGUUCACUGGGAGGGUUGCCGGGCGGCGCCAGACUGGGUCGGGCCCUGUAACUUUAAUCCCCAGUAAUAAAAGCCAGCGCUUUAAUCCAGGCCUCCACUGGAGUACUAAUCCAGCCAUCUACGCUUUGCUUUUACACAGAACUGAGCUCUGCCCCUCGGAGCCGGUAGGUUUGCGUGUCACCUCCAUUAGCUCGUCGCCAUGGAAACCGGGGAGCUGGUUUCACCAGAUUAUCCAUUUUCACCAGAUGUGCCGUGCGAAGCGUCUCGCUGGAUGCCGGCGGUUUGAAACCGCCGUAAAUCCACGUGAAGAUUUGUCAACGCUCAAGUGGCAAAUUUCACACGUGUGGGACCAGAGGAGCAUCAGAGGCUCGGCCCUGAGUCACGUCUGACAGGUCACGUGAUGUUUUCACCAGCUCCAUCUGACUCACUCGCUCCUUAAAGCCUCCUCUGUGUGGGAGAGCUGGGCACGAGCUCAGCUCCACCUGCUCCUCCGCCGCAGGAACCAGCAGAUGUUUUCAUCUGCGGCCGGGCCGUCGUGGACGUCCUGCUGCUGCUCAGCCUGUGACCCGGUGCCUGAGCUCCUGCCAGCACAUGUUCCGUGCUUCACCCCCUCCACCUUCCCUCAUCGCGAGUCUGAGCCUUAUCGGCUGCUUGGUGUCUGUCUGUCUGUCUGACCCGGCCCGUGUUCUGCUGUGUUUACUGUCGGCUCGGUCCGGAGAGAUGUGGUGUUACGUAACUCAGCCCGACACAGAGGGAGCUUGUUCCUGCUGCUUCACCGUAACCACCACUACAAACCGCUUCACAUGAGCUCAAGGAACUUCUGAAAUAUUCCACCGUUGAUACACAAACAUCAGCUCAAACUCACAGAAUGUUGCAGUGCAUUGUGGGUAAACCUGCAGCGGAGCUGGUUCAGACUUCUCCUCCUAAACCAGCAGUUAUUAAUAAAGCCAAUAAAGCCCUGAACACUACUGGUUGUUGGUUCUGAAGUGGGCCCGUCGGCUCUGAACCGGACCUGGCGCUGUUAAACAGGCUCAUCUUCAUCCAACGCAUCCAGGUUUGUACCAUGACAAACGAAGCCGUGUGCCCUGAACUGGGAGCAGCAGGCUGGAACUGGUCCUACUGGGAAGCUCCGGCUGCCACAGGCACAGGUUGAUGUGAUUUGUGCUCCCGUCGCCUCAGACUUUGUGGCGUGAGGACGUCACACGUUCAUCUGCUUGUGAUCAAAGUGUAAUAAAGUCUGACGCCGAAGGCGAAAGCUGC